AUGAUUUACAUUUGAGUGAGUGGCGAACUGGUGAGUAACACGUGGGAAACCUGCCCAGAAGCGGGGGAUAACACCUGGAAACAGAUGCUAAUACCGCAUAACAACUUGGACCGCAUGGUCCGAGUUUGAAAGAUGGCUUCGGCUAUCACUUUUGGAUGGUCCCGCGGCGUAUUAGCUAGAUGGUGGGGUAACGGCUCACCAUGGCAAUGAUACGUAGCCGACCUGAGAGGGUAAUCGGCCACAUUGGGACUGAGACACGGCCCAAACUCCUACGGGAGGCAGCAGUAGGGAAUCUUCCACAAUGGACGAAAGUCUGAUGGAGCAACGCCGCGUGAGUGAAGAAGGGUUUCGGCUCGUAAAACUCUGUUGUUAAAGAAGAACAUAUCUGAGAGUAACUGUUCAGGUAUUGACGGUAUUUAACCAGAAAGCCACGGCUAACUACGUGCCAGCAGCCGCGGUAAUACGUAGGUGGCAAGCGUUGUCCGGAUUUAUUGGGCGUAAAGCGAGCGCAGGCGGUUUUUUAAGUCUGAUGUGAAAGCCUUCGGCUCAACCGAAGAAGUGCAUCGGAAACUGGGAAACUUGAGUGCAGAAGAGGACAGUGGAACUCCAUGUGUAGCGGUGAAAUGCGUAGAUAUAUGGAAGAACACCAGUGGCGAAGGCGGCUGUCUGGUCUGUAACUGACGCUGAGGCUCGAAAGUAUGGGUAGCAAACAGGAUUAGAUACCCUGGUAGUCCAUACCGUAAACGAUGAAUGCUAAGUGUUGGAGGGUUUCCGCCCUUCAGUGCUGCAGCUAACGCAUUAAGCAUUCCGCCUGGGGAGUACGGCCGCAAGGCUGAAACUCAAAGGAAUUGACGGGGGCCCGCACAAGCGGUGGAGCAUGUGGUUUAAUUCGAAGCUACGCGAAGAACCUUACCAGGUCUUGACAUACUAUGCAAAUCUAAGAGAUUAGACGUUCCCUUCGGGGACAUGGAUACAGGUGGUGCAUGGUUGUCGUCAGCUCGUGUCGUGAGAUGUUGGGUUAAGUCCCGCAACGAGCGCAACCCUUAUUAUCAGUUGCCAGCAUUAAGUUGGGCACUCUGGUGAGACUGCCGGUGACAAACCGGAGGAAGGUGGGGAUGACGUCAAAUCAUCAUGCCCCUUAUGACCUGGGCUACACACGUGCUACAAUGGAUGGUACAACGAGUUGCGAACUCGCGAGAGUAAGCUAAUCUCUUAAAGCCAUUCUCAGUUCGGAUUGUAGGCUGCAACUCGCCUACAUGAAGUCGGAAUCGCUAGUAAUCGCGGAUCAGCAUGCCGCGGUGAAUACGUUCCCGGGCCUUGUACACACCGCCCGUCACACCAUGAG
rnacentral:rRNA from 2 species